GUAAAGUGACCGCGUCGUUCUCAUGCCCGCCUCGGGGGAAGCCGGUGGAAACCCGGCGCUGACCCGCAACCGUGAGCCGCCCGUCCCCGAAACGGCGGCGAGCCGGAAUGCCCGGGGCGGAUAUGACCGGCUC
rnacentral:ncRNA from 2 species